GCCGCCUUAGCUCAGCUGGUAGAGCGGCUGAUUUGUAAUCUGCAGGUCGCCGGUUCGAAUCCGGCAGGCGGCU
rnacentral:tRNA from 1 species